ensembl:lncRNA
GUCCGCUCUGCUACUGGGAGAGUGGAUAAAAGUGCUGUUCCUUGUACAGGGACUAGGACUGGGUUAAGCAUAGAAAGGAGGUAGUGAUGAGUGGAUCCAGCAGUUAUAGUGAUAUAGAAGAAAUGAAGCUUGAUACAUCUUUUAAUGACAUGGGAAUAAGAUGCCUUCAUUGCUGGAUAGCGGAAGAUAAAUAAUUUCCUUCCACCUGCUUACAGCAGUAGUGACUACUUCAAGAGGAAAGUAGCAGUUCAGUCACCUUAUCAGAAUCCCCCUCCAGGAAAACUAACAUUUGGAGGAGUAUUGCACCAGUUCAUACUCAGCAAGGAGAAAUACUCCAGCCCUCUGAGCAUUCUUGUGACUUCUUGUGAACGCUCUCCAAUUAGCCUAUGUCCUUCUCAUGUUGGGAGCUGAAUGCACUAGUAUUCGUUCAAGAGUUUUAGGAGAGAACAACUCAGAUUCCUCAGAAGAAGGAAAUAAGGAGGGUUUAUUGUGGAGGGCCAAUGAGGAUGAUCCUUCAUUUGUAAUUCCUGCAAAUGUUACCCGGGUACUU